UACGUAGGGUGCAAGCGUUGUCCGGAAUUAUUGGGCGUAAAGAGCUCGUAGGCGGUUUGUCGCGUCUGCUGUGAAAACGCGAGGCUCAACCUCGCGCCUGCAGUGGGGUACGGGCAGACUAGAGUGCGGUAGGGGAGAUUGGAAUUCCUGGUGUAGACGGUGGAAUGCGCAGAUAUCAGGAGGAACACCGAUGGCGAAGGCAGAUCUCUGGGCCAAUACUGACGCUCAUGCACGAAAGCGUGGGGAGCAAACAGG
rnacentral:rRNA from 1 species